rnacentral:Y_RNA from 1 species
GGCUGGCCUGAUGGUAGUGAGUUAUCAGAACUUAUUAACAUUAGUGGCACUAAAAUUGGUAUACAACCCCUCCCCACUGCUAAAUUUGACUGCCUUAA